UACGAAGGGGGCUAGCGUUGUUCGGAAUCACUGGGCGUAAAGCGCACGCAGGCGGAUUGAUAAGUCAGGGGGUGAAAUCCCGAGGCUCAACCUCGGAAUUGCCUUUGAUACUGUCAAUCUUCGAGUUCGGGAGAGGUUGGCGGAAUUCCUAGUGUAGAGGUGAAAUUCGUAGAUAUUAGGAAGAACACCAAGUGGCGAAGGACG
rnacentral:rRNA from 1 species